rnacentral:rRNA from 1 species
GACGAACGCUGGCGGCGUGCUUAACACAUGCAAGUCGAACGGAAAGGCCCUGCUUUUGUGGGGUGCUCGAGUGGCGCGCGGGUGAGUAACACGUGAGUAACCUGCCCUUGUCUUUGGGAUAACUCUAGGAAACUGGGGCUAAUACCGGAUAGGAGCUCCUGCUGCAUGGUGGGGGUUGGAAAGUUUCGGCGGUUUUGGAUGGACUCGCGGCUUCUCAGCCUGUUGGUGGGGUAGUGGCUUACCAGGGCUUUGACGGGUAGCCGGCCUUAGAGGGUGACCGGCCACAAGGGUACUGAGAGACGGCCCAGACGCCUACGGGAGGCAGCAGUGGGGAAUAUUGCACAACAGGCGGAAGCCUGAUGCAGCAACGCCGCGUGCGGGAUGACGGCCUUCGGGUGGUAAACCGCUUUCGCCUGUGACGAAGCGUGAGUGACGGUAACUGGUAAAGAAGCACCGGCUAACUACGUG